GUACAGUAUCUUUAUUACAAUAAAGGUAUUUCGUUCUUACCAUGAACAGAUAGUGCUGACAUUUGCAAAUGACUUAUGUCAUUAGUUUUUACUCUAAUGUCCACACACGUCCCUGAUUUUUCAUGUUCAGCCAAUUCCUUUCUUCUAAGCUCACACUGAUUCAUGGUAAAUGUAGGCAUCUGACGACUCCAUUAUGUCUUAGUACUGUAAAGUCGUGCCGGAGUUACGGCCUUGUAUUUCCCUCUUAAAUUAUAUUAACUUUUUUUAAUUAAUGGAGUUAUAUGGAGAAUAUAUGUCUGAAUUGCACUUUAGAGAUUAAAACAGAUAUUGCUUGUGCGGGGAGGGGUGGGAACCCCGACAGAACAGUUCACUGAGACCCACAGAAUUGAACUAGGUGCUUCAGAAUGGGCUUAGGAACGACUCAGACUGGGGGAAGCUAGGAGCCUGGGAGGAAUUCUAGCUUUCUGCUUGUGUAUCAGGGAGCAAGUGAUACUGUUUAUGGGGUUGGGGCAGGUGAAUCUUUGGGGGUGAAUCACUUUGAAGCAGGCAAAUAGAGUGUUCCAUUUUGAGCCUGUUGAACUGGAGAUGGCAGGUAAAUAUCCAACUAGAAGUUAGCUUGCCAAGUAGUUAGAUGCACUACGUGUCUACAGUAUGAAGUCUAUGUCAGAGAAUGAGUAUUCCAAAAUAGAAGAUACCACGUGAGAAAAAGAAAAGAAAAAUCAGUGAAUUAAAAAAGAAAAAUUGUGGCAAUGAAUGACAAGAAUCCCACUCUAAAAAAUUCUCAAUAUAUCAUUAUUGGAGACUUUCAAAGUAAAGCAACUGAUGAAAAAUCUGAUCAAAUGCCCAUUAACGAUGAACAUGUCUGCUGGAAGAAAAUGUAACAGGAAAGGAAAAAAUAUGCCAGGAAACUCUGGCAACUGGGACAGAACGUUGAGAAAGGGAGGUUGGAAGGAAGGCCUUUCCUGGCUUCUGACAACCCUUCUGUCACUGUACACAAAUCCCAAUAACACUAGGUUUUAUCAGUACUGCAACUUAAUCUUACUAAAAAAAUCCGGAUGAUUACACAAAAGCCUGCAAGAAGCAUCCUCUGUAAUCACAUGAAUUAGAACUCGGAUACCAAGAGCCUCAAUGGACAAUUAACUCCAGUUAGUUGCUUCUGAACUAUACUUAGGGGUGCUUAUCACUGUAUUUCAGAGUCAACUCCAUGGAGUCUGUCUUCUAAGUAAAUGCAGAGAGACAGAAAUGUGUUCCUCAGGUCAGUUUCAUCGCAUGGUAAUAUAUAGUAUUGCGUACUGCUUUUGUGUCUCAAUAUCGUUUAAAUUUAACCUUUAAACUUUUUUCCUCAGCAAGUUUUCUACUCAAAGCUGCAAUGUCUUCUUAUAUGUCCCUAUUUCCAUAAACAUUAUUACAUGUCUCUCAAAUUUCUCAAACUAAUAUCCAGUUCAAAUUAAGCGAAACCGAAACAAUGCUACCUACAUACACAAUAAAAACAAAGAGUAGAUGGGAAAGAUAAGAUUA
rnacentral:lncRNA from 1 species